CGUAAGUUUGCGACGUUUUUUUUUUUUUUCAGUUUCCCGUUCGGUCAUACGCGCAAAAUAUAACGAAAACCAUACUGAGGAAUAACUACGGUCCGCAUAACAAUGUCUCGAAAAUAAUCGACGAAAUUUAUUUUACCGAGCCCGUGCAUUAAUACUCGUAUUACGUUAUUAAUUUCACGAAUAACGCGCCAUCGAGUAAGUAACAGCUCUGUCAUAUUAUAUUUUAUUUUAUAUAGGUGGUCUUUGUCGGAUCCGCAAAUCAAUAUUGUUAAUUAAUAAAUACACGCUGGCAUCAUCGGCUAUCAAUAAUAAUAACAACAUUAACAAUAGCAAUAGGCAAUAACAAAACGAAAAGUUUAGAAAUCGUAUGAGAACUAAAGAUUCGCAGUGGUACUCGAAUCGCACUCGUAUCCCACGAGAAAAUGAAUGUCUGCCGUACACAUACGCUAUUACGUACUAUUUAUUGUAUCGGAAGAGAUUUUUUUUUUUUUUUUAUACUCGGUGCGACAGCCCAAAAUACCACCUUUCGUCCCGGGGAUGAAGAGCUUCACUCAAUGUUCGGAACUUUUUAAUCCAUUUACAUUUUUCCUGAAAUAGUACAGGCGUGUGUUUAAUCUAACGCGUGUUAUAACACGGACUGUUAAAACAUCUAAAGUCGCCUACGGUUUAUUUCGGCAACAACCGCAUAAUUUGUUCACAUUUAUUGUAUAGCGGUUUUCGCCAUUAUAACGUAUCGUUUAGCAAUUCUCAGAGUUCGAUUUGCUUGUACUGCAAACUACACAACAUCGACUUAAGCCUCUCUUCCCUGACACCAAAGACAUAUUAUACGGGAUGGUUUGUUUUAUCGUGAUCCGCGUUCAAUUGUCCUAAACACUAUCCUAAAAACACGCCUGAACUGCAGUCAUAGCACACAAACGGUAAAUCAAACAUUUAUAAUGUCAUAUAUUCUAUCAAAUUCGUUUAGUAAAAUAUUUUGAUUUGGUUUUUUUUUUUUCUCGAAUCCGUGUUGAAAACGAUGGGGAUAGGGUCGGUCGCCAUUCCAAAAUCAAUAUCUCACACUCGUUUAAAGUAUAAGCAAUAGCGGUAAGAAUUUCAAGACGAUAAUAUUAAAACAAAGUCUACAUGAAAUUUACCGGGAAAAUAUAACUGGAUCGCGAUAAAGGAAUCGCAUUGAAUACACGGAUAUCGAUCUAAGAGCGUAGUGUACACCGUGUUGUUUUUACGUUACGGGUAUUAUGAUACUGACAAGGGUACCCCGAUAAAUUAACAAUAUUUUAUCAAAUGAUAUUUCCUGCAACGCGUUUGCCGUUUAUAAUAACGUAUUGUUUUCAACGGGCUUAUAAGUGUUGUGAAAAAAAAAAAAAAAACAGAGUACGAAUGUGCCAAGUAUAUAAUAAAAUGAAACGAAUGAUGAUCUAAAAUAAAUAACUGCGCGUAUAAUAUUUCUCGUUUUUUUUUUUAUUUUAUAUAAAUUUUAUAUAAUUGCGUAAUUUAUAACAAUAAAAAAUAAUAAUAUCUAUUAAAAAACCAUUAAACUGUAAGUUAAUAAUUUUUUUUUAGCGUGCGCACAUAACAUAUAUUAUAAAUGGUAAUAAUAAAAAUAGAAAUAUAUGAUGAUGACUGAAUAUUAUUAUUACGCGCGAUUGUCGUUGCAGUACCCUGCUAUGAACUUGGCCUUCCUCGCUCGCGUUACACUGCAGCAGGAUGUUUCGUUUAACGGCGUUAUUACUGUACAUUUACGACAUUUCGUUUGUGCUACAGGUGCCUAACCUUUAUAAUACCUUUAUUAUAUUUUCGCACUUGAUUCGUUUUUUUUUCGUAUAUUUCGCGGUACACGGGUUCGUUAUGAUCACGUAAACAAAAGAGAUGAUACGCGCACGUGCGUUUGCAACGAAACACACGAUUCGAAAUAAUAUUGUCCGCGCUCGUUGCACAGCAUACGGUAAUCCCUCGUUAUCCUAUGUCGAGUCGGCAAUGCCUUUCAUUUAAUAAUCCGUACAUUUCGUCGCUAUCGCGUGCGAACGCUGCGAUUUGUUUUAGAUAAAAUUAGAUCGUUUUUAUGCGCAACUACGCAUAAUAUAAAUACCACACCUUUAGUGACGAAUACCGCGUAAAGUACACCGCGCACGUACGUUGCAGCUUUAAAGGCCUAUUGCGUACGGAGAGCUUCGCAAAAACAUAGUAUUGAGAAUAAAAGGAAACAGACACCUGUCGGUUUUUUUUUUUCCUUUCUAAUAUAAUUUAUGUAAGUGCGUGUAAAUAGUUAAUUGUGUAAAUUAAAACUAAUUUAUACAAAAUGAAAAGAAAAAUAUCAGUGUUUUUGAAAUUCAAAUAAUAAAACCUAACCUCCUAUCUACAUUGAUUUACGGUCUCGUUAUCCGCGGUUUUAUUAUCCGCGCAACUUUGCCGGAACCUAACCUCCGCGGUUCACGAGAGAUUUCUGUAUUCUAUACGGCCAUUUGUAUAGAUUUUCCCGUCGAUCUCGAACGGAGGUUUAUUUAGAUUUUGUACGGAACAAAAAUAAAAUUUACCUAGAUAGCUUGUUUUUUUCUUUCGGAUAAUAUAUUUGUAUUCGGUUAGUAAUAUCGCUAAAAAUGUUUCGUAUCAUGCAGUUUUAAACGAUGCGGAUUUUUCGCCCUAUAGUAAUUUAUUUGAACAAUUUGUCUACAACCACCCGGAAAUCUAUCAAAAAACUUAAAAACACUCUGGUAAUACAAUUACGAUAAUACUGCAUAGGUUUUAAUUUUUUCGAUUUCUGUAAGGUUACUUUGGUUACAGGGGAAAAAGCACGACCAGUCCACUGAACUCCGCACAGAAUUGUGUUUCGAUCAUAAUGAUUUAUUGUUGCUUAUAGUAUAAGUAUAUGUAAUAAACUUAAUAUUACCCUACCUUCUUAACUCCUUACGCACAACAAUGGCCUAUUCAUGGUGUAAAGUAUGUAAGACUUUUAAAUUCUACGCACAACAUAUGUGUUAUUAUGUAUGAUUGUUUUCCGUAUGUGUACCUAUGAAAACCUUUACGACCAGAAAUCGUAUAGUCCAAUCAAAUAAUGACGAGAGUACAUUUUAUGCGGAUAAAAUUGUUUUGGCUAGAACAGAAAUGCUUGAUUGACAAAUUUAACUUGAAGAGCGUUAUAAAUUAGAAGUUUUAUUUAUAUAUUGGUUAAAAAUAAAGUCGAACGUAAUGUAAUAGGGUUUUCUGUAAGCGUUUUAAAUUCAAAUUUUUAACAAAAAUCAUAAGUAUUUCAAUACAGGUAUAACUGAACUUUGCUCAGAAUCGCAUUUUGUCAGCAAUGAUUUAUCUUUGCGUACAUACACAAAUUAAAUGACCUUAUGCAUCCUACCUUCUCGACUUCCCAUCUACAACGGUGGCGUAUCCAUUAGCAAUAUCAGCUCUUUAUUUUAAAUUGCGAUUUAGUAAUACAAUAAGUUUCGUAUACAUUGAAACGAUCGAUUCAUUGUUAUAAGACGUUUUCCGGUUUAGAAAAGCGGAAUUGAUCGAAAUCGCGCUAAUACAGGCAAGACGAUCCGUCAUCACGCGACGAUUUCUAUUAUCUAUAAAAUAAUUCCUGUUCUUUACACUUAUGCAAUUACCACAUAUUACUAUGUUUAUUGUGUAUACCUAACACUUGUUUUACGUUGUGUAAUGUAUCGGAAUAAAUGAAAAAAAAAAAUAAUAAUAAUAAUAAAAUAAAAGCCUACAGCGUUCGGCGGUAAACAUAAUUUAAUGUUCUUAUUUUGUUUUCAGCCAUCACUCUAAUCGUAUUACGUUUCCAAAAUGUAUAUUAUAUAAUGAACACAAGCGUGCACUGAUCUUACUGAUAGCAACCGGUAGGCAGAGGCAGAGUUCUUUUUGUAAUCGAUCCGUACGCGGAGUCAAGGACUAAAUUGGACGGCUACAUAGAUCACGAGUGCAAAAAAAAUAUCUAUUCAACGCACCAUAAGCGCGAAUAAGUUGUACCAAUAGUAAAAGGUGUUUGAUUAAAAUUUGUUAAGUUAUUAUUAUUUAAGAUUUCGCAUUAAUAUUCGAAUAAAUACAUUAAAACUUGAUAUUUGUAGCCCGCGGUUUUUAAGCAGUGCAAUCUGGAAAUGCUUUUAUAUUGACGAUGACUUUAGGCGCUGUGAUUCGUAGUUUUUCGUACAUUUUACUGCAGUUUUAAGUAAACUUCUGAUUGGUGUUCUUUAAUUACUUCAAUACAAUUGUAAAUUGUUGGGUUUGGAUUAUGAAAUUGAUCUUUCAAUUGACGGUGAUACGAUUCUGGAUCAUUGGUGGUAGUCCUUGGCUCGUUCGAGGGUCAGAAAUCAGAAAUCGCUUGUAUAUUUAUGUUUUCAGGAGCAAUAGAAAAUGGUUCAUAAAAUGCAUCGGAAAUUUCAGUAGAAAGCAAAAAAAGUUAUCCGAAGAAAUUUUUUAACCAAUGUAAAAUUUCAAAUUGAUUUUCGUCGUAUUCAAUUUUAAGUCCCAAUUUUUCAAGCUAUUCCGAGGGAUAAGGCAACAUUUAAUUUGUAUAUUUUUUAAAACUCCAUUAUAAACGAAUAAUUCGAAAUCCAAAAUUAAAUUAACAAGAUAAAAAUAUUAGUUUUACGCUUUUAUCCCACUACUAAGGCACAAAAGAGCAAAUUAGUUUUGCGCUUUUGGGUUAUCGAAAAAUAUUGACGAUUUGAGCAUUUCGGUUUUAUCUAAUUGGACGUUAUAUAUAAAAACAAACACGUUCUGUUUUUUCCAUUUACGUUAAAGAAAGUGAUUGACACAAGUAUAAUACCUUUAACUAAGUAUACAAAAAAACAUACCACAACAAUAAUUUUCUUUAAGCCGUGGAAAAAAUACAUUACAAUAACUGAAUAUUAUAAUAAUAGUCUUCAAUCAAUAAUAAAAAAGAAAAUUUGAAUUUGAAAAUUUUUUUUUCUUUUAUGUUAACAACAAUUUAAAACAUUAAAAAAUGCUAUAUGCUAUAUGGUUGUUCUAAACAGUAGCGUAUUUAGGAUUUUUCCAAGGAGGGAGAUAUUGAAUUUGAUAAUUGUGUUAUAUUGUAGAACGUGUACCCAGACUAAAAAAAAGAUCAAUUUUUGAUUUAUAAUUUUUUUUAAGUAACUUACAAUUCUAUGUAUACCUAGAAGAUAUUAAGUAAUUAUUAUUAAUUGAUUUACGAUUUAUAGAUAUUAAUAUAAUCUCCGUCAUAUUUGUGUGAAUAUAAUUGGUUUUGUUUUAAACAAAAAAAUGUAUAAUAGAUACGUUCAGGCUUUUUGAUAAAUUAAAAAUAUUAACUACAAUAUGUAUAAGUACCGACACAUCAAUUUUUUUAUUUUUCAGUCUGAAAAGCAAAAAAAAAUUGAAUUAAAAUUGGUAUGUUAAUAAUAGUUUAAUUAUAUACUUUCUUUAAUAAUAUUUGUUUAAUAUUGCCCCUAUUUUCCCGGUUUUUAUCAUUUAUUUGGAAAACUCUUUGGAAAAUCAAAAAGCGAUCUUCCAAAAGUACCUCCCCAGUCAGAUUUCCUUUUAUAACGAGUGCUAUCAUUGUAAACUGGAACGAAAUUUCUGUUAGAGAAAAUGUCCAUAGAAAAAAUAAAAUAAAAUAAACAUCAUUGUAAAACCAAUACAUUCCUCGCUCCAUUCAGAAUCUAAAAAACGUCUGCAAUGACUCGGAGAAUUUACAAGAGAACGAAAUAUGAAUGAAAAUGUCGAAUCCACUGUACGCGGACGAAAUCUCCGCGAAGGCGCCCCCGGUAAGUGUGCGCCACUCGAGUUCAGUUUAAAUAAUUAUAUUAUUGGAAAGUCAUUCCCGAUUUCACAGCCGCCGGUCAGUGGUUUGUUUGGUUUUUUUUUUUUUUAACUUCCUAUUUGUAUAUUUCGCGUAUUAUUCAAAAUCCCUCGGAGCCGAUACACUGUUCAAAUGGUUUUGUUAAGAAUAAUAAUCGAACACAAACAUUGAUUACCUACAAUAUUAUACUUGCGCCGAUCUAUAGAAACCGUCAAUAGGAUUUUGGUGCGGCAUAAAUUUUAUUUUUUCCUUUUUAUUAUUAUUAUUAUUCGGCAGAUGAAACAGCAAAAAAUUGUCCGCGACAAUACGAGAAAAAAAAGUAACCAACGAUUUUUAUGACUCUGUGUUGAAUCUCGGUAGAUAAAUACGCUCGAAAUUUGAAACCAUAAUACACUGUGUCACACGAACUCUUCUUUUUUCGCUUUGCACGGCUCAUCAACACAGCCUUUUGUAUAACCCCUCCGAAAUUCUGCAUCUUGAAUUCUUGCGCAUAAUCUUCUCGAAUCGUCAUGACAGGCCGACCCGCAAAUCAUCUUUUAUACCUUAUCCAUUUCCAUCGCUUCCGUCGCCUGCGUCUUGGUCCCUCGGUACCAAUUGGUUCCGGCUGAUCUCUGCCUUUGUUUUUGGAAUUUCUAUGAAACGUGUUGUCCGUGCGGAACCCUUCUUCUGCGCUCGGUUCUCCGCGGACACGAGAGGCUAGGGGGCAAUGCCGUAAUUAACACUACCCUAUAGGGGAUACUUUAAUUAAAAUAGUACGGUAAGCACUGCCCCCACGGAACAAUACCGCAUUCGGUAUCAGAUAGAUUUUGAUCACACCGCCCACGAAUAAUUCCUGGAUCCGUACACGCGCCGUACAAGGUCGUAUCCGUUUCUUUCCGCGUGUCUGAAAUACAUCCGCAUGGUUUUCGAAAGGCCCGCCGGGGUAUUUUCGUUCGUCCCGAAAAAUUAUAACUCGACCGAUUCGGAGCGCGCCUUAAACAAUGCGAGUGCCGAAAUUAAAAAAAAACAAUAUCUACGGCUUUAUCUACGGUUUUAUUAUCAACCGCCCAUACAAUAUUAUAUUAAUAUUUAAUACCAUACAUAUUAUAAUCGUUAUUAUGGUAACAACGACAACUGCUCUUAUUGGAUAUUAUGUUUUCGCAUUGACCGCGCGGUCGUUACACACGAUAAUGAUCCGUUCGGUGGACUUUUUUUUUUUUUUUCGAACGCACAAUACAAAAAAUACAGUACUUAAUAUACUUUGCCUAUAAGUCGAUUUAAUAAUAUGAUGAAAUAAUCUACGCGUUUACGCAUCCGCGGUGCUACAGUAGCGUUUUUUGUGUUCGCUCGUGCACGUAGAAAAAUAAUUAUAACCGUCUUCCAAAAAAAAAAAUAAUAAUAAUAAUAAUAAAAAUAAAAAUGAUGGUUAUUUCGUAUCGAAUUCCAAGGUCGAACUUAUUACUUUUUUUCAGACUGUUCAGCUGUGGAGAGUAUACCAGGUACAUAAUAAUGUUAUGCAAAACGAAGAGAAAAGGUCAAAUAUUGACGUUGAAAAGUAGAAAUGUUUUUUUUUUAUAUUGUUAUUUCCCUUGCACGAGUUAUUAUCAUUAUUAUUAUUAGUGUACCUAACCUACGUGAUGUGAAUUGUCUACGGCGAAUUAUAAUAUUAUACUUAAACGGUCGUGCCAAAGUAUAAUCGUACCGCAAACAAGACGAUAUUGAACCAGUACUUCGGCUGUACCCUACAUUAUAAUAUGUAACGCGCGAGUAAUACCUUUAACAAUAAUAACACGGUGUAUUUUAGUUUUCAUCACUAUAGCGUUAUUACGAAAAUCGUUCGAAAAAGCGCAAGUUUCGUUCUCUUCUGGAUUUGUAAUGAUCGAAUUUUGAAAUAAUAUAUAUUACGGUCGGGGUUUCGUCCAGAUAAGGGGGUUCUUGUCUCAUGGUGAAUUUCGACAUUUCCUUCGGGACAUCCGCCUAUUUCGCGUCGCAUGAUAAAAACGAAAAUAAAAAUACAUCCUCAAAGUUUGAGGCCAUUUGAACAAUAUCUAGUAGAGACGCGCGGCAUAUUAACAUUUAAUAUCAAUAGGAUUGCACGAAAUCGAUGAAAAUAGUGUACAAACGACCAUAGGUCGUUUUGGGUUUGUUUUUGAAAAAAAAAAACAAAAAAAACAAAGGACCUGUUUUAAUCCUAAGAUCUUAAUUUCUUUUUUGAUGACACGGGGAUAAUAUGUUAACAAUUGAAGACGCUAUAAAACUAACAAGCUGUUUAUUAUUACAGCUAUGAGCUAUUUAUAUAUACGUCGAGUUUUACGAGAAUUUAAAGGGGACAAAAAUGAAUUUGUCAAGCGUUUUGUGUUACCGAGGUUCGAGUUAUUAUGCAAAUCGUGACUCGACUGUACUUUAUAAUUAUUAUAAAAGUUAAUCGAUUUUGAUAUGGAAAUAGUUAGUAAUUUCACAAAGAAAAUAUAUUAGUUUCAGUUGACUUCUGAAACUCUUGAACAAUCGAAUUCCCAUGCAUGUGGUGUCAAAAAGACAUCGAGAUCUCGGGAAUAAAAUAGGUCCUUUGGUUUUAAUUUUUAAUUUUUUUUAAAAAAAAAAAAAACAUUUCUAAACGAUCUGUAAUGGUUUGUACGUUAUUUUCAUCGAUUUCAAGCAACUUGUCUGUUUAUUAAAUAUUAAUACGCCGCGCGCCUCCACGAAAUAUUGUCCGAACGGCUUCAAACUCUGAGGAUGUGUGUUUGUACUGAACAACGCACACGGCAGACGUGUGUCCCAAAGGAAAUUGGCAAAACACGGGCCAUCCUAUAGUAAAAGUAUUAUAGGUAUAGAUCGUCAAAACGCCACCAUCGAAUGCUUAUCCGACAAUAAUAUGAUUACGUGUUGUACAGGUGUGUGGGUGUAGGCCGUCAGUGCGCGAUCGAACACGUCCUACAUUCGAUAAUGAUAGUAACAACAAUAACUAAUAACGCGUUUUUCCGCAAUAACAUUGUCACGUUGAUAUUAAACAUAUUAUAAUAAUAUUAUCAUACCCGAAGGUGUUACGCAUAUUAAAUAUAAUAUUGGACAUUAUAUCACAUACCUACUCGUUUACGGUGGAAAGAAGAACAAAAAAAAAAAAAAAACGAAAAAAAAAACUAGUUUGCAAAAACGACCUUGAACAUAACACCGUUAACACCGUCCGUCGGGGUCUUUGUUUCUAUUUAUUUUUAUCUCUCUCGCGCGUUUCCUCCAGCAGUCGUCGUGCCCAAUACCAGACGUACAACUCGAAAAUCGAAUUGCGCGGAUUAGCUGACGAUAAAAAAAAAUAACACGUAACCAUUAUCUAGCGGUGCUCGUGUAUGUUAUUGUAAAAGGCGAGUAAGAAAAUUAUAGUCAAAACUCUGUCGGCUGAACCAGUGGGAAACCACAUACGAAAACCGAUUCGCGUCCGUUCGGUUUAAAUAAUAAUAAUAAUAUGCCAAUGCGACGGAAAUUAUAAAAUCACUUAUGUGAGAAAAAAAGACACACACACACACAUAAUCGAUAAGAAUUUAUCGUCGUAUUUUCAUCACUCUUGUUUAAUAUUAUUAUAAAAUAUGCUUAGCGUGUUGAUUUUAUUGCAAUAUUAUAGCGAUACGCGUGUGUAAUGAAUUUACCCGUAUAAAAUAUAUUCUAAUAAAUAAUCGACAAGCACUAACAACAUUGAACAACGUAGAAGUUUUUUUUUUUUUAUACAUAUAUUAAAAUAUACGUAAAAACAGCUAAAAUAUUUGGGAAUUUUUUUUUUUUUUUUUUUUUUGAAAACGUUCGUACAAAGACCGUUUUAUUAAUAUAAUAUAUUAUAUUAUACGCGCGUACGCUCGGUUAACGCGACGCGAUGUCUCCUUGAACUUUUUUUUUUUACGGGGGAAUAGAAUACGUGCACGAAAACCGAAACCAGUACUUCUAAUACGCGAUCGUUAAAAUUUAACUAAAAAAAAAAAAAAAAAAAUCGCAGUUAAUUUUAUUCGGCGAUAAUGCGUAUCCGCGAAAAUGCAUUUCCGAAUCGGGCACGUCGGUACCUAAUAUAAUAUUGUGUACCGUGCCAACAAUAGACUGCCCGCGAUACGGCGCGCCAACACCCGCCGCAAUGGGUUUGUGCCGGCACAAGGGCACAAAUACACAAUGGUGCGUUAUCGUAACAUUAUCGGGCGAGUGAGAGACGUUCUCGCAAACGUUGCGCACGUUCAAGUUUGUUUGUUGGUUUUUUUUUUUUUUUUCUAACGCUCGCGUGAGACCCGAAAUGCAAAAAAACGCGUUUCAACCGCGCACUCGAAAUACUGUGAUAAUUAUUGUAAUAAACGCGGUGCGAUUCGCGGUAAUGUUAACACGGCGACGGUCUACAAUAUGUUAUUUCCCGAGCUUUCCGGUUUACAGGAUUCGGCGUGAGAAAAAAAAAAAAAAAAAAACGGAUAGCGCGCAGACGUUAAUUAUUAAACGGCGAGAAAACGAAAAAUAACAUAAUUACACACGGGCGAUAAGUGAAGGAAUAAAAUUUAAAAAAAAAAAAAAAACGAACGGUAUAAGAAUCUUAGGCACAAUAUUCAAUACUGAUAAUUUGUCAAUGUUAAUUACGGUUUACGAGCACAAUGGCGAAUAUUAAUUGAAAAUUCUUCGUUCCGUUAUCGGCCACUCUACGGUGCAUAAGUUCCACAGCCGUUCACAGUAUGGAUUUUAUCAAUAUUCGUAAACAAAUCGUUACUAAUAUUACUUGUAUUGCUGAUUUGGUCAACGCCCUUCGUUAAUAAAUUAAGAUUUUUGUUUUCAAUAAAAUCGGACUACUUUUGAUAAUUGUGUGUGGUUGGACAUUUUUAAAAAGAAAAAGAAAUCGGAGACUUAUUUUCUUUUUCUUCCGACUCCCGUUACAAAACAACUACGGAAAGCCGACGGUACGAUAGAGCCGCGUUAGAAGUAUGGAGUCGUCGGCCUUAGUAUAUAUUUAUAUACUAAGGAGGACGAAUAAUAAUUAUAUUGAUUAGACGGCACAGGAGAAAACUUGCGAUUCGUUUCGAACGGUUUUCAUAUUGUCGUCACGCGCGCACAUGUGCGUACAUUUUUUUUUUCCAAUCUUCGAACUAUUUAAACUCUUCGACAUUUUCAGUUCGAAUCCGUACGAGUAUUUUAUCAUUUAUCGAGACGCUCGGCCGGAUAAAUACUAACGUCAAAAGGCCCGCGGUUUUUGUCGAUUGUAAUUCGUUGGACGGCCGUAGGGGAGUUGCGUGACGCGCGCGUGCGUCGGCACGGGCACGGCGUAAUAUUAUGGUUUUCGGUUUUCACCCGCCCGCCCGACAACAAUAACGGUGUUUAACAUUGAAACGAAUAAUCUGAAUUCAAUCAAUGCAGCACCUCGUGUGCGCACCGUAUGCCGCGCGUAUUGCGGACAAAUAAUAAACGUACGCGUUUCAAUUUAUUAACAUUUCAUUGUUUCGUUUUUUAAUUGUGCGGUUUACCCGUUGGAUUUCUCUACGCGGCGGCAGGAUCGACAAUAACACAACUAUAGAAUAUACGUGUAUGUAUAUGUAUAAAAAAAAAAAAAAUGUGGGACAGCCGACGAUCGGUUCCGUCGACGGGCCCGUCGUUUUCGUCUCGUUUCGGUCCGCGGCCCGGGCACCGGACAGUCGCCUGCCGAGCCUACGGUGACGGCGGCGCGCCGUCGGAGUCGUUACGAAACGAAAAUUGAUCGCAUAAUUACUCGAGAAAAACACUUUCCAACGAACGCGUCGGAAUUUGAAUUAUUCGAUAAUCGUUUGCCGUUACGGUUCGUCUCUGUUUCUUCGUCCGUAAUAAUAAUAAUAAUAUUAUUUCCGACGCGGGAUGUCAGCAACCACGCAAAUAUUUGAGAAAAACGCGAGUAAAGGUCGGUUAAAAAAAUUAGAGUUUUUUUUUUUUUUUUUUUUUCGAAAUUUAAAUUUAAAAACGCCGCUCCGAGAUACCGUGUAGGACAGGCACACGCUUUCCCGUCAGUAUUCAACACUUCGGAGUUCCGUCCGAAACAGGUAGAUUGCGGUCAAUUUUUUCCAAAUAAAUUGUUUGAGAAAAAUAUUUCAAAAAAAAAAAAAAAUUUUUUGAGAAUUUUUACUUACCGAAAAAGUGUUUACACCAAUAACGCGCGCGUCUUUGUAAAAAAAAAUAAUAUGCCUGAUUUCCUCGUUUCAAGGUCAACAAUAAAAACGAAAAAAAUCAAAAAGUAAAUAAAUACCGACGUUUUUUUUUUUUUAUAGUAUACGGAUUUACCUGUUGGAUUUGCUGAAUGCGCGGUUAUCGAGAAAAAAGAAAAAAAAAAAAUUAUCCUCCGUAGUAAUCCUUUUACGAUAAUCGACCCGGCAAUCGUUGUUCGCUUUUUGCUGUGCACACUAACUGCGGUGACCGCGCGACGAGCCGAACUGAAACGCACAUACACGCGAAAUUUACGCAAGUACGUCUUAAUAUACU